GACGAACGCUGGCGGCGUGCCUAAUACAUGCAAGUUGAGCGCUGAAGGUUGGUUCUUGUACCAACUGGAUGAGCAGCGAACGGGUGAGUAACGCGUGGGGAAUCUGCCUUUGAGCGGGGGACAACAUUUGGAAACGAAUGCUAAUACCGCAUAAAAACUUUAAACACAAGUUUUAAGUUUGAAAGAUGCAAUUGCAUCACUCAAAGAUGAUCCCGCGUUGUAUUAGCUAGUUGGUGAGGUAAAGGCUCACCAAGGCGAUGAUACAUAGCCGACCUGAGAGGGUGAUCGGCCACAUUGGGACUGAGACACGGCCCAAACUCCUACGGGAGGCAGCAGUAGGGAAUCUUCGGCAAUGGACGAAAGUCUGACCGAGCAACGCCGCGUGAGUGAAGAAGGGUUUCGGAUCGUAAAACUCUGUUGGUAGAGAAGAACGUUGGUGAGAGUGGAAAGCUCAUCAAGUGACGGUAACUACCCAGAAAGGGACGGCUAACUACGUG
rnacentral:rRNA from 1 species